rnacentral:rRNA from 1 species
UACGUAGGGGGCAAGCGUUGUCCGGAUUUACUGGGCGUAAAGAGCGUGUAGGCGGCCACGCAGGUCCGUUGUGAAAACUGGAGGCUCAACCUCCAGCUGUCGACGGAAACCGUGUGGCUAGAGUCCGGAAGAGGAGAGUGGAAUUCCUGGUGUAGCGGCGAAAUGCGCAGAUAUCAGGAGGAACACCAAUGGCGAAGGCAGCACUCUGGGACGUGACUGACGCUGAGACGCGAAAGCGUGGGGAGCAAACAGG